rnacentral:ncRNA from 1 species
CAUAAAUCGAUGAAAAGGACGAGUAAUAUUAACCCUUACUUAUAGAGAAUUAACGGUUGGUGGAAGUUAAUAGUAACCUAAUAUGAAUAAAACCUUGGAGAGAAUAUCCGGCAGACUGCCGUUAUCAGUUAAGAGAAUCAGUUAAUGAUUAAAGAAGGGUGGUACCACGAACAAAAUCGUCCCUUUA